rnacentral:rRNA from 1 species
AACGAACGCUGGCGGCAUGCCUAACACAUGCAAGUCGAACGAGACCUUCGGGUCUAGUGGCGCACGGGUGCGUAACGCGUGGGAACCUGCCCUUAGGUUCGGAAUAACUCCCCGAAAGGGGUGCUAAUACCGGUUAAUGUAUUCGGACCAAAGAUUUAUCGCCUUUGGAUGGGGCCGCGUUGGAUUAGCUGGUUGGUAGGGUAAAAGCCUACCAAGGCGACGAUCCAUAGCUGGUCGGGGAGGAGGAUCAGCCACACUGGGGCUGCGACACGGCCCAGAAUCCUACGGGAGGCAGCAGUGGGGAAUAUUGGACAAUGGGCGAAAGCCUGAUCCAGCAAUGCCGCGUGAGUGAUGAAGGCCUUAGGGUUGUAAAGCUCUUUUAGCCGGGAUGAUAAUGACAGUACCGGGAGAAUAAGCACCGGCUAACUCCGUG